rnacentral:pre_miRNA from 1 species
UUAACUCACAGUUUGUAUGAAGUUGGAUCUUUUGCGUACGUUUGCCGCUAGGGGCGUUGUUCCAACUCCAUACAAAUUUGAAUUA